UAUUAGCCGUUGAUAUCAAAUAUCAAACGGUGAAGAAGUUAGUGAAACUCCCUAACGGAUUAUUUGACGAACUUUCAUCAUAUAGAAGCCGUGAAUCUGACGAAAACGAUCUGUAUUCCAGCUGUCUACGACGGAAGAACAUCCAAAUAAAUGGCGACAAACUAAGUUACAUACAAACCAGACAGAACGCUGUAGGCGUGUAUAUCGCCAAUUGCCGACUUAGUCCACCAAAAUUGUACUUUGAAGUGGAAAUUGUUGCAUUGGGUAUCAACGGUACAAUUGGUGUUGGCCUAGUUCACGACGAAUACCCCUUAAACAAACAGCCAGGAUGGGAUUCAGGUUCGAUAGGUUUUCAUGCUGACGAUGGCAGCAUAUAGUUGCCGUUGAUAUCAAAUAUCAAACGGUGAAGAAGUUAGUGAAACUCCCUAACGGAUUAUUUGACGAACUGUCAUCUUAUAGAAGUCGUGAAUCUGACGAAAACUAUCUAUAUUCCAGCUGCCUACGACGAAAGAACAUCCAACUUAAUGGCGACAAACUAAGUUACAUACAAACCAGACAGAACGCUGUAGGCGUGUAUAUCGCCAAUUGCCGACUUAGUCCACCAAAAUUGUACUUUGAAGUGGAAAUUGUUGCAUUGGGUAUCAACGGUACAAUUGGUGUUGGCCUAGUUCACGACGAAUAACCCUUAAACAAACAGCCAGGUGGGGAUUCAGGUUCAAUAGGUUUUCAUGCUGACGAUGGCAGAAUAUAUAUCGAGAAAGGUAAUGGUCGUCCAUAUGGACCUUCGUCGAAUGUUGGGGAUAUAAUUGGAUGUGGGAUACAUUUACCACCAGAAACGACUGCUUCACAAGGUCCACGUAACGCUAGUGUUUUCUUAACACAUAAUGGAAAGAAACUGAAAACAGUAGAAGUUACUACCCAAGCGGAGGUUUCUUUCCUGCUAUUGGAUUGCAUUGUAUGAGGUGCCAUAGUUAUAUUACACUUGAAUGAGAUAGUCACAAUAGCAGAAGACGAAACAGAAAAAAUUACAACACAGAUGGAGGCACCAAAGAAGGAGAAAUGUACAUUGUUAGACGGAAGUCUGUUCAGGGAAACACGUAAACAGAAUAUUCUAACGUCUGCAAUAAAGAAUAAUUUACAGGAAAACCCGACUGCUUCCGUUGCUGGUUGGGAAUAUUAUAAUUUAAAGAGAUCGUAUGACACGCUACAUUCGUUACAAAUGGAUGGAAGAGAGGAAAAUGAACAGCUAUUCGAAAUUUAAAACUUUUGAAAACAGGACGACGAAUACCUACCACUUUUCAUCCAUGAUGUGAAGAAUAAUUUUAUGGACAAAGACGGAACUUUGAUAUGGCGAACUCGAUUGACUAUUUUGUUCACCAUCUUACUUGUAUUGAUUGACUGCCAUGAUGUAUAUUACUUACUUUUAUUAGAUUCUUUUUCUUUGUCGUUUCACAUAAAAUUUUCGAUAAAAGUUUGACGAAUAUCACGGAUAUCUAUUGUAUUCAUUACAAUUGCCACUGAUGAAUUAUUAAUACCUAAAGAAACCAUCUGCCCAGAAGCUAUUGCCUCACGUUUAGCACGAUUUAAAUUAUAGAUUAUGACUACACAAUUUCAGUUAAAAAAAUGCGCGUUCGUUAUAAAAAUAAGUUUGGAACAAUUUAGCAAUUGCUUGAACAAUGACACUAAUAAAUGAAUAAAAACCCGAUUUUCUGUCAUGUCGACAGACUCUUGUUUAAAAUUAAUUUAUCCAAUGUUUCAUAUUCACGGCUUCGCAAAGUUCUGGUUUCGGUUGUACGUUUUGUCAUUCUACUGAUCGAGAUUAAAAAGGGGAUAACUAAUAUAC